rnacentral:rRNA from 1 species
UACAGAGGUCUCAAGCGUUGUUCGGAUUCAUUGGGCGUAAAGGGUGUGUAGGUGGCGCGCUAAGUCGGGUGUGAAAUUUCGGAGCUUAACUCCGAAACUGCAUUCGAUACUGGCGUGCUUGAGGACUGGAGAGGAGACUGGAAUUCCUGGUGUAGCGGUGAAAUGCGCAGAUAUCAGGAGGAACACCGGUGGCGAAGGCGGGUCUCUGGGCCGGAACUGACGCUAAGGAGCGAAAAGCGUGGGGAGCGAACAGG